AUUGAACGCUGGCGGCAGGCCUAACACAUGCAAGUCGAGCGGAUGAAGGGAGCUUGCUCCUGGAUUCAGCGGCGGACGGGUGAGUAAUGCCUAGGAAUCUGCCUGGUAGUGGGGGAUAACGUCCGGAAACGGGCGCUAAUACCGCAUACGUCCUGAGGGAGAAAGUGGGGGAUCUUCGGACAUCACGCUAUCAGAUGAGCCUAGGUCGGAUUAGCUAGUUGGUGGGGUAAAGGCCUACCAAGGGGACGAUCCGUAACUGGACUGAGAGGAGGAUCAGUCACACUGGAACUGAGACACGGUCCAGACUACUACGGGAGGCAGCAGUGGGGAAUAGUGGACAGUGGGCGAAAGCCUGAUCCAGCCAGGCCGCGUGUGUGAAGAAGGUCUUCGGAGUGGAAAGCACUUUAAGUUGGGAGGAAGGGCAGUAAGUUAAUACCUUGCUGUUGUGACGUUACCAACAGAAGAAGCACCGGCUAACUUCGUG
rnacentral:rRNA from 1 species